GGCCCGUGGCGGAAUAGGUAGACGCGCUUCAUGUCUUCGGAAUCCUUGUCACGAUUUCUCCUCUCGUCCCGGCGAAUGCCGGCGGAACUACAUCAUUGAUAAUGACCAGGUCGACGGUUCGAGUCCGUCCCGGGCCA
rnacentral:tRNA from 1 species